rnacentral:tRNA from 1 species
GAUUACGUAGCUUAAUUAAAGCAUAACAUUGAAGAUGUUAAGAUGGGCCCUAGAAAGCCCCGUAAACA